rnacentral:tRNA from 2 species
GUGGCUGUAGCUCAGUUGGUAGAGUUCCGGAUUGUGAUUCCGGUUGUCGUGGGUUCGAGCCCCAUCAGCCACCCCA